rnacentral:tRNA from 1 species
UCCCUAGUGGCUCAGAUGGUAAAGCAUCUGCCUGCAAUGCGGGAGACCCAGGUUCGAUUCCUGGAUUGGGAA